UGCCCGGCUCCGCAAUCCCGACCUUUAAGGGGCAGAAGUGUCAUAUGACGCAGGAAUGACUGCCAAAUGUCAGCCAGUUUUAACAUACUGUCUUGGCAGAGCACAGAGAUGCUCAGAGAGGAGACAUGGUAUUAAUUCUGCUAGAGACACUGGUAGUAUCAGUGUCCUGGUCCAAAGAGAUUUUGGGUUCACUUUUUGUUGUUGUUGUUUUGAUUUUUUUUUUUUUUUUUUUUUUUUGUUGCUGUUGUUGUUUGUGGGGGGGUAUUUGUUGGUUUUGGGGUUUUGGGGUUUUUUUGUUUGUUUGGGGGUUUUUUGUUUCAUUGUUUGAUUGGGGUUUUUUGCUUUGUUUUGGUUUGGUUUGGUUUUGGUUUUUUUUCCAUUAUUUUGUGGGUACUCUGUGGCUGACAAACUACUGAAGGAAAUCCUAAGGCUUAUAGCAGCGACAAAGGCUGACUGCAUAGAAGAGAGAAGCUGAAACACUGUAGCUGAAGGGAACCCCCUUGAAUUAACGCCUGUUCAUAGUACAUCCUUAGAGAUGAGGAAAGAUGUAACGAGGAGCUUUGAGCAGUUACUUGAGAUGUUGCAAUAGUAAGAAACUGAAUGUCCAUAAUUGAUAUGGCUGUAGAUGUAGCCAGGGCAGAUGGAAACAAGAUCGUUCAGCUUUCUGCGCACAGGAAGGGAACAGUAUUGCCUUCAACCCCAGCAGCUAGUAACAGAAAUUCAAACUGUGGCUGAGCAACGCGUGUUUUCAUGUCACAGGGGCUGCCAUGGCAGUAGCACACACUGCUGCUCUGGAGGGAAUGACAGCUUCCGAACCAUCCAGCGGGGACUGAGGGUCCCUCUUUUACACAGAGACAGUCCUGCUCCACCGGGAAGCCAACGAGCUGAACCUCAAGACAAAAUUAAAGAGCUCAGGUGCUGGAUCAGGACCUUAUUAAAAGUGAGCAGGUAUCUCCUGCUGCUACUUCUGCUGCCCUGUUGUUGUGGUUUUAUCUACUGCCACCCUUUGACUAUCUCAAGUAACCAAGCAUCAGCACUGGUGACAGCUGAUCAGGAAUUAGAGGGCUUCUUGCCAAUGGCUUUACAGGAUGCAGAAGAACUGUAGAUAAUUAGAUUUUGUGGUGCCAUGUGAGAGCAGAAUCCCAAGAGGAAGAAAUCGGAUCAGAAGUCUUGGUGGUUUUAGGCAAAAUAGCUCUGAUGCUUGAGGGACCUGCUGAAGAUAAGUUUUGUGCACUAAAGAAAUUACGUGUUGGAUGAGAGCCAUUUAAUGCACUAGGACAUCCUCUGGAAAGAGCAAGGAAAGUCAGAACUUGUAAA